GCAGAGCAGCCCUUGGGGAGCAUGCUCUGGGGACUUGAUCAUGAGCUUGGAGUUGAUGAAGCAAUUCCACGGAGGACUGAAGUCCAUAAAUAUCUUGCCUCGUGUCACAAAGCUAGUGAGUGGCAAAAGCAGUAUUAGAACCCAGCACACUCCUGGCCCACUGAAUGGAUGCAUCAGAAACUAAAGUUUGUG